rnacentral:rRNA from 1 species
GAUGAACGCUGGCGGCGUGCUUAACACAUGCAAGUCGAACGGAAAGGCUCCUGCUUGCAGGGGUACUCGAGUGGCGAACGGGUGAGUAACACGUGGGUGAUCUGCCCUGCACUUCGGGAUAAGCUUGGGAAACUGGGUCUAAUACCGGAUAGGACCGCAUUUUGGAUGGUGUGGUGGAAAGUUUUUUCGGUGUGGGAUGAGCUCGCGGCCUAUCAGCUUGUUGGUGGGGUAAUGGCCUACCAAGGCGUCGACGGGUAGCCGGCCUGAGAGGGUGUACGGCCACAUUGGGACUGAGAUACGGCCCAGACUCCUACGGGAGGCAGCAGUGGGGAAUAUUGCACAAUGGGCGCAAGCCUGAUGCAGCGACGCCGCGUGGGGGAUGACAGCCUUCGGGUUGUAAACUCCUUUCGCUAGGGACGAAGAGUAAUUGACGGUACCUGGAGAAGAAGCACCGGCUAACUACGUG